rnacentral:rRNA from 1 species
GGUUAAGCGACUAAGCGUACACGGUGGAUGCCCUGGCAGUCAGAGGCGAUGAAGGGCGUGCUAAUCUGCGAUAAGCGCCGGUAAGGUGAUAUGAACCGUUAUAACCGGCGAUACCCGAAUGGGGAAACCCAGUGUGAUUCGUCACACUAUCAUUAACUGAAUCCAUAGGUUAAUGAGGCGAACCGGGGGAACUGAAACAUCUAAGUACCCCGAGGAAAAGAAAUCAACCGAGAUUCCCCCAGUAGCGGCGAGCGAACGGGGAGGAGCCCAGAGCCUGAAUCAGCAUGUGUGUUAGUGGAAGCGUCUGGAAAGGCGCGCGAUACAGGGUGACAGCCCCGUACACAAAAGCGCAUGUGCUGUGAGCUCGAUGAGUAGGGCGGGACACGUGGUAUCCUGUCUGAAUAUGGGGGGACCAUCCUCCAAGGCUAAAUACUCCUGACUGACCGAUAGUGAACCAGUACCGUGAGGGAAAGGCGAAAAGAACCCCGGCGAGGGGAGUGAAAAAGAACCUGAAACCGUGUACGUACAAGCAGUGGGAGCACAGGUUUACCUGUGUGACUGCGUACCUUUUGUAUAAUGGGUCAGCGACUUAUAUUCUGUAGCAAGGUUAACCGUAUAGGGGAGCCGGAGGGAAACCGAGUCUUAAUUGGGCGUUAAGUUGCAGGGUAUAGACCCGAAACCCGGUGAUCUAGCCAUGGGCAGGUUGAAGGUUGGGUAACACUAACUGGAGGACCGAACCGACUAAUGUUGAAAAAUUAGCGGAUGACCUGUGGCUGGGGGUGAAAGGCCAAUCAAACCGGGAGAUAGCUGGUUCUCCCCGAAAGCUAUUUAGGUAGCGCCUCGUGAAUUCAUCUCCGGGGGUAGAGCACUGUUUCGGCUAGGGGGCCAUCCCGGCUUACCAACCCGAUGCAAACUGCGAAUACCGGAGAAUGUUAUCACGGGAGACACACGGCGGGUGCUAACGUCCGUCGUGAAGAGGGAAACAACCCAGACCGCCAGCUAAGGUCCCAAAGUCAUGGUUAAGUGGGAAACGAUGUGGGAAGGCCCAGACAGCCAGGAUGUUGGCUUAGAAGCAGCCAUCAUUUAAAGAAAGCGUAAUAGCUCACUGGUCGAGUCGGCCUGCGCGGAAGAUGUAACGGGGCUAAACCAUGCACCGAAGCUGCGGCAGCGACGCUUAUGCGUUGUUGGGUAGGGGAGCGUUCUGUAAGCCUGUGAAGGUGUGUCGUGAGGCAUGCUGGAGGUAUCAGAAGUGCGAAUGCUGACAUAAGUAACGAUAAAGCGGGUGAAAAGCCCGCUCGCCGGAAGACCAAGGGUUCCUGUCCAACGUUAAUCGGGGCAGGGUGAGUCGACCCCUAAGGCGAGGCCGAAAGGCGUAGUCGAUGGGAAACGGGUUAAUAUUCCCGUACUUGGUGUUACUGCGAAGGGGGGACGGAGAAGGCUAUGUUGGCCGGGCGACGGUUGUCCCGGUUUAAGCGUGUAGGUGUGUGUUCCAGGUAAAUCCGGUUCACUUUAACACUGAGGCGUGAUGACGAGGCACUACGGUGCUGAAGCAACAAAUGCCCUGCUUCCAGGAAAAGCCUCUAAGCAUCAGGUAACAUCAAAUCGUACCCCAAACCGACACAGGUGGUCAGGUAGAGAAUACCAAGGCGCUUGAGAGAACUCGGGUGAAGGAACUAGGCAAAAUGGUGCCGUAACUUCGGGAGAAGGCACGCUGACACGUAGGUGAAGUGAUUUACUCACGGAGCUGAAGUCAGUCGAAGAUACCAGCUGGCUGCAACUGUUUAUUAAAAACACAGCACUGUGCAAACACGAAAGUGGACGUAUACGGUGUGACGCCUGCCCGGUGCCGGAAGGUUAAUUGAUGGGGUCAGCGCAAGCGAAGCUCCUGAUCGAAGCCCCGGUAAACGGCGGCCGUAACUAUAACGGUCCUAAGGUAGCGAAAUUCCUUGUCGGGUAAGUUCCGACCUGCACGAAUGGCGUAAUGAUGGCCAGGCUGUCUCCACCCGAGACUCAGUGAAAUUGAACUCGCUGUGAAGAUGCAGUGUACCCGCGGCAAGACGGAAAGACCCCGUGAACCUUUACUAUAGCUUGACACUGAACAUUGAGCCUUGAUGUGUAGGAUAGGUGGGAGGCUUUGAAGUGUGGACGCCAGUCUGCAUGGAGCCGACCUUGAAAUACCACCCUUUAAUGUUUGAUGUUCUAACGUGGACCCGUAAUCCGGGUUGCGGACAGUGUCUGGUGGGUAGUUUGACUGGGGCGGUCUCCUCCUAAAGAGUAACGGAGGAGCACGAAGGUUGGCUAAUCCUGGUCGGACAUCAGGAGGUUAGUGCAAUGGCAUAAGCCAGCUUGACUGCGAGCGUGACGGCGCGAGCAGGUGCGAAAGCAGGUCAUAGUGAUCCGGUGGUUCUGAAUGGAAGGGCCAUCGCUCAACGGAUAAAAGGUACUCCGGGGAUAACAGGCUGAUACCGCCCAAGAGUUCAUAUCGACGGCGGUGUUUGGCACCUCGAUGUCGGCUCAUCACAUCCUGGGGCUGAAGUAGGUCCCAAGGGUAUGGCUGUUCGCCAUUUAAAGUGGUACGCGAGCUGGGUUUAAAACGUCGUGAGACAGUUCGGUCCCUAUCUGCCGUGGGCGCUGGAGAACUGAGGGGGGCUGCUCCUAGUACGAGAGGACCGGAGUGGACGCAUCACUGGUGUUCGGGUUGUCAUGCCAAUGGCACUGCCCGGUAGCUAAAUGCGGAAAAGAUAAGUGCUGAAAGCAUCUAAGCACGAAACUUGCCCCGAGAUGAGUUCUCCCUGAGACUUAGAGUCUCCUGAAGGAACGUUGAAGACGACGACGUUGAUAGGCCGGGUGUGUAAGCGCAGCGAUGCGUUGAGCUAACCGGUACUAAUGAACCGUGAGGCUUAACCUUAC